GAAAGGGUGGUUGACAGGACAGGAGGAUUCUGUGAUACGUGGAACCGAAAACGUGCUUAUCCACGUGGAUAAAAGCGAAACUGGAUUCCUGCCUCAUGCCGUACUCCAAAACAACUCCGGAUGAAUUUAAAUCUUUAAUUGUGAAUGCAAAACUUUAGAUUAAUAUUUUUCUGACCUUGAGAGAAGAAAGGGAUUUCUUAAAGUACAGCUCCAAGAAAAUUUCAGCCAGGUCCAUGUGGAACUCCAGAACAGAAAUGUGGUAGUUCUCAGACUUCCACCUCACACAGUCACUGUGGGGGGCAGCCUGAGACCCUGGCGUCAGGGAGAAUAUUAAUCAGAUGCAGGCAAGGGGCAGGUGGAGGCGAUUAGCUAACUGCCUGCACCCCAUGGAUUCCCUCUUAUGGGAAAUCUGAGUGGUAUGUUCCCAUGGCUGCCACAUGCCAGGAUGGAAAUAACUAUUCUCUUCUGCAGCUGGGCUAGAAAAUCUCUAAAGCCCUUCCAAGCACACAAAUUCAAGGACUCUGUUGUGAUUUGAGGUCAACCCCAAGGAUGCCUAGGAAUAAAUAGAAGAAGCACAGCCUGCUCUCAGAGGUAUGGGGUGGGUGGAGAGGCACUCAUCUUUUGUCUUGCAAAU
rnacentral:lncRNA from 1 species